rnacentral:rRNA from 1 species
GACAGAGGUGCCGAGCGUUAGGCGGAAUCACUGGGCUUAAAGCGUGUGUAGGCGGGCCGUUAAGUAUCUUGUGAAAUCCCCCGGCUCAACCGGGGAAUGGCUGGAUAUACUGGCGGUCUUGAGCAAUCUAGGGGCAGAUGGAACAGACGGUGGAGCGGUGAAAUGCGUAGAUAUCGUCUGGAACGCCAAAGGUGAAGACAGUCUGCUGGGGAUUUGCUGACGCUGAGACACGAAAGCCAGGGGAGCGAACGGG